UUGAAAAAUAAUACUACUUAUCCCAUACAGGAGGAGAGCCAAAAAAACCUAUGUCUGUUGCUGAUCGCAACAAAAGAGAUCUGAGGUGUUAGAGGGCAACAAGGGAUCAUGGGAGUUGGAGGAGCUAGAACCUAGAAGCUGUCUGCAAAGUUACCAGCUCAAAUCCAAAGUCAAAUCUAAGAUCGAGGAAUAGUGACAUGGAUAACAUCAGAUCCUACAAUUUUACUUAACACACAAAAUAACAGAGCCUCUUUUAAUUUCUUAAUUAAGGUAAACACCACUUGGUCUGACAUUUUAAAAGCCAGGUUCUAUAACCUUAAUCCAAGAAGAACUACAAAAUACAAAGCUGGAAUGCGUAAAAAAAAAAAUAAAAAAAGUAUCACUUAAUUCAGCAGCAUUUGUCACAAUAUUUACGAUAACAUGUACACAAACAUAUGUAGUCAUACUCUAUCUAUACUGGUUAUAAAAACAAUGAAGGACAGUUGGUUUACUACAACAUUUUGCACUAUGAAGUGGAACAUUAAGGAAGGGCCUCUUUAAAAGCAACAGUACAGUUCAAGAUACAAAAACAUCAUAUAAGCAGGAUGUUGCCUCUUGCAUAAUAAUAAAAAAAAAAAAAAAAACCUAACAA